UACGAAGGGGGCUAGCGUUGCUCGGAAUUACUGGGCGUAAAGAGUGUGUAGGCGGUGCUCUAAGUUCGGUGUGAAAUCUCCUGGCUCAACUGGGAGGGUGCGCCGGAAACUGGAGUGCUUGAGCGUGGGAGAGGAAAGCGGAAUUCCUGGUGUAGCGGUGAAAUGCGUAGAUAUCAGGAGGAACACCGGUGGCGAAGGCGGCUUGCUGGGCCUUACCUGACGCUGAGGAGCGAAAGCGUGGGGAGCGAACAGG
rnacentral:rRNA from 1 species